rnacentral:misc_RNA from 1 species
AAGUCGUAACAAGGUUUCCGUAGGUGAACCUGCGGAAGGAUCAUUACUGAUUUGGCGGACCGAGCGUCAGCGAGGUUCCGCGAUCACUUGUAUUUAAAACCCACACUUUGAACGUAUAUGUAUAUUUCUGUAUUUUUUAAUAAUAAAAGAUCACUUUCAACAACGGAUCUCUUGGCUCUC